UCUCCCCCUUUCUCCCUCGAUGAUUAUUUUAUAGCAUCUUUUCAUUUGAAACCAUCCUAGACUUCUCUAGUUAAUAAGUCCUUCCUGUCUUCUGAUAUAUUAUGUAGGUAUGUGCAUACAUGUAUGUUUUUAUAUAUGGAAAAUUUUAAAACAAUAACUAGAUAUCCAAAUCGAAGAUCAAAUGUAUUGAAUAGGAUGUAUGCUAUAAAAGAUAUAAACUAAAAUUUAUAUAUUUUGGCGGUCUUUAACCUAUGCAUUAAGUUUGUACAAAAUAAUAGCAUCAAAUAUGCUAGUAUC
rnacentral:lncRNA from 1 species